GAUGAACGCUGGCGGCGUGCCUAAUACAUGCAAGUCGAGCGGACAGACGAGGCGCUUGCUGCUCUGACGUUAGCCGAGGACGGGUGAGUAACACGUGGAUCACCUCCCUAUCAUACUGGGAUAACUUCGGGAAACCGGCGAUAAUACCGGAUAAUAUAUUGAACCGCAUGGGUCGAUAGUGAGAGACGGCUUUGCUGUCUCUACUAGAUGGAUCCGCGCCGCUUUGGCUGGUUGGUGAGGUAACGGGCUACCAAGGCAAGGAGGCGUUGCCGAACUGAGAGGGGGAUCGCCCACACUGGAGCGGAGACACGCUCCAGAGUCCUGCGGGAGGCAGCAGUAGGCAACGUGCCGCAGUGGGCGAAAGUAUUACGGAGUAACGCGGCGUGAGUGAUGAAGGCCUCCGGUGCGUAAUACUCGGUUAUGAGGGAAGAACAACUGUGUAAGGAACUAUGCACGUAUUGACGGUAACUAAUCAGAAAGCCACGGCUAACUACGUG
rnacentral:rRNA from 1 species